GCAUUGGUGGUUCAGUGGUAGAAUUCUAGCUUGCCAUGUUGGAGGCCUCGGUUCGAUUCCUAGCCAAUGCA
rnacentral:tRNA from 1 species